CGUAGGUGGCAAGCGUUGUCCGGAUUUAUUGGGUUUAAAGGGUGCGUAGGCGGCUUUGUAAGUCAGUGGUGAAAUACUCCAGCUCAACUGGAGAGGUGCCAUUGAUACUGCAGAGCUAGAGUACUGAUGAGGUAGGCGGAAUGGACGGUGUAGCGGUGAAAUGCUUAGAUAUCGUCCAGAACACCGAUAGCGAAGGCAGCUUACUAAAGAGUAACUGACGCUGAGGCACGAGAGUGUGGGGAUCAAACAGGAUUAGAUACCCUGGUAGUCCACACUGUAAACGUUGAUCACUAGAUGUUGGCGAUACACUGCCAGCGUUCCAGCAAAAGCGAUAAGUGAUCCACCUGGGGAGUACGCCCGCAAGGGUG
rnacentral:rRNA from 1 species